rnacentral:rRNA from 1 species
UACAGAGGUCUCAAGCGUUGCUCGGAAUCACUGGGCGUAAAGGGCGCGUAGGCGGAUCUUUAAGUCGGGGGGUGAAAGCCCAGGGCUCAACCCUGGGAAUUGCCCUUCGAUACUGGAGAUCUUGAGACCGGAAGAGGUAAGUGGAACUGCGAGUGUAGAGGUGAAAUUCGUAGAUAUCGCAAGAACACCAGUGGCGAAGGCGGCUUACUGGUCCGGUUCUGACGCUGAGGCGCGAAAGCGUGGGGAGCAAACAGG